UACGGAAGGUCCAGGCGUUAUCCGGAUUUAUUGGGUUUAAAGGGAGCGUAGGCCGUUUGGUAAGCGUGUUGUGAAAUGUCGGGGCUCAACCUGGGCAUUGCAGCGUGAACUGCCAGGCUUGAGUGCGCAGGAAGUAGGCGGAAUUCGUCGUGUAGCGGUGAAAUGCUUAGAUAUGACGAAGAACUCCGAUUGCGAAGGCAGCCUGCUGUAGCGCAACUGACGCUGAAGCUCGAAAGCGUGGGUAUCGAACAGG
rnacentral:rRNA from 1 species